GCUAGGUGCUCGCCUGUAAUCCUACCUACUCAGGAGGCUGAGGCAGGAGGAUUAUUUAAGCCCAGGAGCUUGAGGCUAUAGUGAGCCAUAAAUGCAUGCCACUGAACUCCAGCCUGGGCAACAGGGCAAGUCUCUUCAAGAAAAACAAUUGCCACCUCAAAUUGACAAACUGAAGAAGACAGACAGAUAACAGUUAUUCUGGUGCCAUGGCCAUAUAGACAAACCAGGUUUUAGGAUUUUCAAAGCCUAGAAUCAUGACACCUGAUGAUGAACCAUUAAAGUUAUGAGCCUUCGCAAAUCAUUGCUACAGAAUAUGCGCAGCAUUCUGUGGAUUGGAGAGAUGUAGCCUCGCUUCGCUUGCCUCUUUCUCCCGAGGACAGUAAUCAGUCAUAAAAACAGCUCUCCUCCUUCAUAUCAAGCCAACAGCUGGAAACUCUUCUGCAAUGUCAAAUUUAGCACGCACCCCUUACUAGGCACUGAACUUAGUCUUGUGGGUCUGCGCUACAGUCUUAAAUGAGUAUUCCCGGGCCAUAGUUUAUCCUUUAUUUUUGCGUAACAUUCUCAUUGACUUUGGUGCAACUCUAUAAAGGAAGCAAGGAUUGAAUAUCAUCCUUUAAUGCCAAAUUUACUACAGCUGAACAAAAUGAGCGGAAAUCUG
rnacentral:lncRNA from 10 species